rnacentral:tRNA from 1 species
UUCGCACAGUCUUGAGAAGAGUCGAAACCCCCGUGCAACGGACUCUUAAUCCGUAGGUUCAGGGUUCGAUUCCCUGGCGACCCA